rnacentral:rRNA from 2 species
CAUGCAGUCGAGCGAAUCUGAGGGAGCUUGCUCCCAAAGAUUAGCGGCGGACGGGUGAGUAACACGUGGGCAACCUGCCUGUAAGACUGGGAUAACUUCGGGAAACCGGAGCUAAUACCGGAUAAUCCUUUUCUACUCAUGUAGAAAAGCUGAAAGAUGGCUUCGGCUAUCACUUACAGAUGGGCCCGCGGCGCAUUAGCUAGUUGGUGAGGUAACGGCUCACCAAGGCGACGAUGCGUAGCCGACCUGAGAGGGUGAUCGGCCACACUGGGACUGAGACACGGCCCAGACUCCUACGGGAGGCAGCAGUAGGGAAUCUUCCGCAAUGGACGAAAGUCUGACGGAGCAACGCCGCGUGAGUGAUGAAGGUUUUCGGAUCGUAAAACUCUGUUGUUAGGGAAGAACAAGUACCGUUCGAAUAGGGCGGUACCUUGACGGUACCUAACCAGAAAGCCACGGCUAACUACGUGCCAGCAGCCGCGGUAAUACGUAGGUGGCAAGCGUUGUCCGGAAUUAUUGGGCGUAAAGCGCGCGCAGGUGGUUUCUUAAGUCUGAUGUGAAAGCCCCCGGCUCAACCGGGGAGGGUCAUUGGAAACUGGGAGACUUGAGUGCAGAAGAGGAAAGUGGAAUUCCAAGUGUAGCGGUGAAAUGCGUAGAGAUUUGGAGGAACACCAGUGGCGAAGGCGACUUUCUGGUCUGUAACUGACACU